CAGCAGUCGCCGCGGUAAUACAGAGGAUGCAAGCGUUAUCCGGAAUGAUUGGGCGUAAAGCGUCUGUAGGUGGCUUUUCAAGUCCGCCGUCAAAUCCCAGGGCUCAACCUGGGAAUUGCAGUGGAUACUGGAUCACUAGAGUGUGGUAGAGGAUAGUGGAAUUUCCGGUGUAGCAGUGAAAUGCGUAGAGAUCGGAAGGAACAUCUGUGGCGAAGGCGACUAUCUGGGCCAACACUGACACUGAGGCACGAAAGCGUGGGGAGCAAACAGGAUUAGAUACCCCAGUAGUCCCUGUCUCUUAUAC
rnacentral:rRNA from 1 species